rnacentral:rRNA from 1 species
GAUGAACGCUGGCGGCGUGCUUAACACAUGCAAGUCGAACGAUGAAGCUGGAGCUUGCUCUGGUGGAUUAGUGGCGAACGGGUGAGUAACACGUGAGCAACCUGCCCCUGACUCUGGGAUAACAGCCGGAAACGGCUGCUAAUACCGGAUAUGCACCAUGAACGCAUGUUCUGUGGUGGGAAAGAUUUUUCGGUUGGGGAUGGGCUCGCGGCCUAUCAGCUUGUUGGUGAGGGAAUGGCUCACCAAGGCGUCGACGGUUAGCCGGCCUGAGAGGGUGACCGGCCACACUGGGACUGAGACACGGCCCAGACUCCUACGGGAGGCAGCAGUGGGGAAUAUUGCACAAUGGGAGAAAGCCUGAUGAAGCAACGCCGCGUGAGGGAUGACGGCCUUCGGGUUGUAAACCUCUUUUAGCAGGGAAGAAGCGAGAGUGACGGUACCUGCAGAAAAAGCGCCGGCUAACUACGUG